rnacentral:rRNA from 1 species
GGCAGCAGUGGGGAAUAUUGCACAAUGGGCGAAAGCCUGAUGCAGCGACGCCGCGUGGGGGAUGACGGCCUUCGGGUUGUAAACCUCUUUUACCACUAACGCAGGCUCCACGUUCUCGUGGGGUUGACGGUAGGUGGGGAAUAAGGACCGGCUAACUACGUGCCAGCAGCCGCGGUAAUACGUAGGGUCCGAGCGUUGUCCGGAAUUAUUGGGCGUAAAGAGCUCGUAGGCGGCGUGUCGCGUCUGCUGUGAAAGACCGGGGCUUAACUCCGGUUCUGCAGUGGAUACGGGCACGCUAGAGGUAGGUAGGGGAGACUGGAAUUCCUGGUGUAGCGGUGAAAUGCGCAGAUAUCAGGAGGAACACCGGUGGCGAAGGCGGGUCUCUGGGCCUUACCUGACGCUGAGGAGCGAAAGCAUGGGGAGCGAACAGGAUUAGAUACCCUGGUAGUCCAUGCCGUAAACGUUGGGCGCUAGGUGUGGGGACUUUCCACGGUUUCCGCGCCGUAGCUAACGCAUUAAGCGCCCCGCCUGGGGAGUACGGCCGCAAGGCUAAAACUCAAAGGAAUNUUGACGGGGGCCCGCACAAGCGGCGGAGCAUGCGGAUUAAUUCGAUGCAACGCGAAGAACCUUACCAAGGCUUGACAUACACUGGACCGUUCUGGAAACAGUUCUUCUCUUUGGAGCUGGUGUACAGGUGGUGCAUGGUUGUCGUCAGCUCGUGUCGUGAGAUGUUGGGUUAAGUCCCGCAACGAGCGCAACCCUUGUUCCAUGUUGCCAGCACGUAAUGGUGGGGACUCAUGGGAGACUGCCGGGGUCAACUCGGAGGAAGGUGGGGACGACGUCAAGUCAUCAUGCCCCUUAUGUCUUGGGCUGCAAACAUGCUACAAUGGCCGGUACAAUGGGCGUGCGAGACCGUAAGGUGGAGCGAAUCCCUUAAAGCCGGUCUCAGUUCGGAUUGGGGUCUGCAACUCGACCCCAUGAAGGUGGAGUCGCUAGUAAUCGCGGAUCAGCAACGCCGCGGUGAAUACGUUCCCGGGCCUUGUACAC